rnacentral:rRNA from 2 species
GUGAAGCCAAGCUUGCUUGGUGGAUCAGUGGCGAACGGGUGAGUAACACGUGAGCAACCUGCCCUGGACUCUGGGAUAAGCGCUGGAAACGGCGUCUAAUACUGGAUAUGAGCCCCUUCCGCAUGGUGGGGGUUGGAAAGAUUUUUUGGUCUGGGAUGGGCUCGCGGCCUAUCAGCUUGUUGGUGAGGUAAUGGCUCACCAAGGCGUCGACGGGUAGCCGGCCUGAGAGGGUGACCGGCCACACUGGGACUGAGACACGGCCCAGACUCCUACGGGAGGCAGCAGUGGGGAAUAUUGCACAAUGGGCGGAAGCCUGAUGCAGCAACGCCGCGUGAGGGAUGACGGCCUUCGGGUUGUAAACCUCUUUUAGCAGGGAAGAAGCGAGAGUGACGGUACCUGCAGAAAAAGCGCCGGCUAACUACGUGCCAGCAGCCGCGGUAAUACGUAGGGCGCAAGCGUUAUCCGGAAUUAUUGGGCGUAAAGAGCUCGUAGGCGGUUUGUCGCGUCUGCUGUGAAAUCCCGAGGCUCAACCUCGGGCCUGCAGUGGGUACGGGCAGACUAGAGUGCGGUAGGGGAGAUUGGAAUUCCUGGUGUAGCGGUGGAAUGCGCAGAUAUCAGGAGGAACACCGAUGGCGAAGGCAGAUCUCUUGGGCCCGUAACUGAACGCUGAGGAGCGAAAGGGUUGGGGAAGCAAAACAGGCUUUAGAUACCCCUUGGUAGU